rnacentral:lncRNA from 1 species
GCCUAUCUAUAGUUAGGGGCCUUUUUUUGCUGGGCUUGAAAAAUGACCAACAACUUAGAGAAAGGAUCAAGGGGCAACCAACAUAGGGGGCUAGCUUGCUUCCACUGGUGGCGGGCGGACGAAGGCUGUUUUGGACAAGUAGCUGGGGGCGAGUAAAAAAAUCCAAGAGUUCAAUUUUCCUUCUUGUUCAUCAAUUGGAAAUCAAGACAAACCGGGCACUACGGUGAGACGUGAAAACACCCGAUCCCAUUCCGACCUUGAUAUGUGGAAUCGUCUUG